CGAUGGCCAACGGGUUAAUAUUCCCGUACUACUUAUAAUUGUGAUGGGGUGACGGAGUGAUGAAAGCACCGCGAACUGACGGAAUAGUUCGUUAAAGCACUUAGCUAUAUUCUCUAUAGGCAAAUCCGUAGAGAACUGGUGAAAUGACGAUAGUACUCGGAGUCUUCGGACAAAGAGAUAGUGUGCCUAAGGGCUUCCAAGAAAAACCUCUAAACUUAGAUUAUAAGUACCCGUACCGUAAACCGACACAGGUAGUUGAGGAGAGAAUCCUAAGGUGCUCGAGAGAUUCAUGGCUAAGGAAUUAGGCAAAAUAGACCUGUAACUUCGGGAGAAAGGUCGCCCCGCAGCAAUCAGGCCGCAGUGAAGAGGUCCAGGCGACUGUUUAUCAAAAACACAGGGCUCUGCAAAAUCGUAAGAUGAAGUAUAGGGCCUGACACCUGCCCGGUGCUGGAAGGUUAAGAGGAGAUGUUAUCUUCGGAGAAGCAUUGAAUUGAAGCCCCAGUAAACGGCGGCCGUAACUAUAACGGUCCUAAGGUAGCGAAAUUCCUUGUCGGGUAAGUUCCGACCUGCACGAAUGGUGUAACGAUCUGGACACUGUCUCAGCCAUGAGCUCGGUGAAAUUGUAGUAACGGUGAAGAUGCCGUUUACCCGCAGUGGGACGAAAAGACCCUGUGCACCUUUACUAUAGCUUAGUAUUGACCUUGGAUAAAUGAUGUGUAGGAUAGGUUGGAGACUGUGAAGUGGCGUCGCCAGGCGUUGUGGAGUCAUUGUUGAAAUACAACCCUUUGUUUAUCUGAGGCCUAACCCCGCAAUGUGGGGGACAGUGCUUGGUGGGUAGUUUGACUGGGGUGGUCGCCUCC
rnacentral:ncRNA from 1 species